ACAGCAGCAGCCGCGGGAAUACGAAGGGGGCUAGCGUUGCUCGGAAUGACUGGGCGUAAAGGGCGCGUAGGCGGUUUAUACAGUCAGAUGUGAAAUUCCUGGGCUCAACCUGGGGACUGCAUUUGAUACGUAUGGACUUGAGUGGAGAAGAGGGUCGUGGAAUUUCCAGUGUAGAGGUGAAAUUCGUAGAUAUUGGAAAGAACACCGGUGGCGAAGGCGGCGACCUGGUCUUUAACUGACGCUGAGGCGCGAAAGCGUGGGGAGCAAACAGGAUUAGAUACCCCUGUAGUCCCUGUCUCUUAUAC
rnacentral:rRNA from 1 species